UGGGGUGCGAUCGCAUUGCCCUGCCCUGCAUCUCCUGAGCCUGCCCACGUAACUUCUGAGUACAAACCCAGAGAUUGUUUGUAUUCGUGCUUAGUGUCGCUUCCAUGUGUUGCAACUUGCUGUGUUCCCUGGGGACUGCCUUGUUUGUCCAUUUGCUUCUGUGACACCCGCUGUUAGAGUCGAGUCUGUUCCCCCAGCCUCUGCUCUCAUAACCCCGGGCUGUCACCUUCCUCUUCCUGUUGGUGCUGUGCACACCUUGAGCUCCUCCCUCACCUGGGAUCUUCUGCGCUAGCACCUGCCUCGAUUCCCCGGCUUCUGGAAGCGCCGCCUCUUCACCUGGAUUUGCCAACAGCUGUGCUUUGGUGCCUCAGCCUGUCCUACUGCCGACUCAGGAAAGAAUGAGCAUUUUCAGCCUUAGAGUCAAGGUUGUCCCGGGCCAGGUAUGUUACCCACGAAGGCACGGAGGGUCCCAGAGCACCUGCAGAAGGGGCAAGUGAGCCCCACUGG